UAGGGAAUCUUCCACAAUGGGCGAAAGCCUGAUAGAGCAACGCCGCGUGUGUGAUGAAGGGUUUCGGCUCGUAAAACACUGUUGUAAGAGAAGAAUGACAUUGAGAGUAACUGUUCAAUGUGUGACGGUAUCUUACCAGAAAGGAACGGCUAAAUUACGUGCUAG
rnacentral:rRNA from 1 species